CCGGGUCGCUAGUACACCCGACAGACCCGCGCAGGGACGCCCGGGUCUCCCUCCGCCGCGCGGGAGCACCGGAAACGCGUGCUCCGGCCCGGGCCGCCCGCCGCCCGGCUCUGCGGCGUUUUGCGGCCGGGGGUUUCCGUAGCCAGCCCGGGGCAGGGAACGCGCAGCGCACGCGCGAGAGCCGUUUGAGCAGAGGGCUGGACACAGGUGCAAUGGCCCUGGUGCCUUAUGAAGAGACAGCGGGAGUGGGGUUGCGGGCAUUCCACAAGCCUCUUGCCACCUUCUCCUUUGCAAACCACAGGAUCCAGAUCCGGCAGGACUGGAGGCAACUGGGAGUCGCAGCAGUGGUUUGGGAUGCGGCUAUCGUUCUUUCUACAUAUCUGGAGAUGGGAGCUGUGGAGCUCAGGGGCUGCUCUGCCGUGGAGCUGGGAGCUGGCACUGGGCUGGUGGGCAUAGUGGCUGCCCUGCUGGAUUAUGAAAGUAAAAAGUCACUCAAGUAGAAGUCAGAAGAACAUAGGCUGAAGGAACUUUCUCUUUGGGAGAUGCUCUGGAGAUGGCCCAUCUAAGCACAUAGACACACAUAGACACACAGCCCAGGAUUGGAAGAUUCAGAUUGGCAAAACGUUAUUCUUUAAUUGAAGAUUGAAAGAAGCAGCUCUGAACUAGCACGGUGGACAGGUGAGUGAGCUAGCAUUUACUGCACACCAGCGGGAUAUUUUAGAGGUAGGUAGAAGGCAAUUGAAAACAAAGAGAAGGAAUAUCAACAUCAGAAUGAGUGUUUUGGAAGGAUUCCUGGGGCCAUAAGGCUUGGACUGAUGUUGGGGAAUGAAUAAGAAAGAGUUAGCUAGAGAUGGAGGGGGUGAGGGCAUCCCAGGCAUCACAAAUGCAGAAGCAAUGCAAGCAUCAAGCAGCUCAAGACGGUGGCAAUAAAAGGUACAUGUGGAAGAGGUGGGCGAUGAUGGGAGGAAGGUAGACAGAGGGCAACCCCCAGAGACAUUGUGUGUUAAGCUUCAUAAUUUGAACUCUGAAUUGAAAUUUAUGGGGCGCCAUUGAAGGAUUUUAAAACAAGAUAUUGACCAUUUAUUUAAAUCUCCUAAUAUAUAUAUUAUAUAUAAAUAUAUAAUAAAUAUAUAUACAUAUAUCUCCAUAUAUAUAUAUUUUAAGCCAUAAGCACACUUGAGGUUAGUCCUAAUUGCACGGCAAAUAAGGAAAUGAGUAAUUGCUCUGAUCUGUAGGGUGUUAUAGGGAAAGCCUUGACUAUGAGUCUCUGAUCAACAGGGUUUCUAAGGAGUGACUGGGUCAUUGUUCUCGUGGGGCUUCACCAAACGCCUUGAGCAGAAAGACAGCACUUUGAGAGAAGGAGGCUUUGUACUGCAGGGUGAUUACUGAUUCAAAUUCAUGUAUGUUGAGUCCCAGCUGGGGCCUUGACAUUGAUCUUCUGUACUCCUGGAUCUAAAAUAAAUUCAGAAAUACAGUUCUUUGGAAUGAAAGCAAAAAUAAGAGUGUGAAAGAAAGGCGAAAUACAGAAAAGAAUUAGCCUCACUUUAGUGAUGAAUUCCCAGCAGGGUAUUCUUUUAAGUAGCAUGUAUUCUGUUCUAUUCCAUUAAUUUUAAAAGGAGGACUACUAGAAAUGACUUAUCUGAGUAACCCAAAAGAUUCAGAUCAGCUAGUCAACUAAUGGGACCCAGGUCACCUUUUCCAUGAAUGAUGCAUGAGUAGAAGAUAGAUACAAAGAGCUUUGCUAAGUCUGCUGAUGUUUAGUGUCUAUGAAAUUGAGGGUUUUCUGUCAAAUGAAUAAAGAUUCUUCCAAUAUAGUGAUUUCCUGUGUUUCGGGAGAUUAACUAGUGUAUGCUUUUGCUAGCAGUUUAUUUUUCUGCUUUGACAAAGAGGGGAAAAAAUUAAAGAAAAAGAAAGAUUGGUAUGUACACAUAUUAGAAAGAUGGGGGAUUUAUAGAACUGCACUAUUUUACUGUUUCUGAAUGACCCUUUUUUAAUGGAAAAGAGACCUGUGACCUUAUUUGCAUUUCAAAUAUUCCUGGAGUGGAAUGGUGAAGAUCAAUGAAUUGAUUGUCAGAGAAACAGCAUGAGUGACAAAUUUCUCAGUAAAGAAAAAAGAAAUACAAAGAGGGAGGAUGGUGAGGUCUUCCCAAUUUAGGAGUAAUGGAGCAAAAAGGUCUCGGUUCUAGUCUGGAUCUCAUUUUUCUAAAAUUCAAAUAAUCUGUGAGAAUAAAAGAAAAAUACCUGAAUAUGUGGUUAAAUAUUUUCUCAGUGCAUAAUUACGUGACACUUCAAUAUGUCCCAACAUCUAUUUUGUCCCAAUAUUUCUCCUUCUCUGCAGAUAUUUUGAGAGGCAAUGCAAUGUAAUAUAAAAUGGCAUAUAUUUGAAAACAAAAAGUUUCCCUUCCAGAGACCCAGGCCUCAACCACUUAAGGCCAGCAGAUAAGCUUCUUUUCAGGAUGGUUAAUAAUAGAAAUAUUUAUUAUAUUCAGAGGAUAUCCUACUCCAUUGAGAUGGUUGAAUACUAGUUCUAUAUCUCCCAUGAGAUAAUCUCUUCAGCACAUAAUUAUUGCAAACAUGAAUAUUGUACACAUAUUAAUAUUUAGCAAUAGGUUAGGACAUAUUGAAUAGCAUCACAUGUGAGAUACUAGUUGUCCCACCUAUGUGGAGCUGCAGCAAGACCAACCAAGCUCCUUUUAGGGCUCUUCUUCAAUUCAAGGUGAAGAUCUGAUCUGUGUACCUUCCCUCCAGCUCCCAGCUCCCGACCUCUCAUUGAGAUAAGGAUCUACCCUGAUUCUUGGGCAGGUCUAGUUGUCCGGCAGGUUGGACAGGUACUUGGCAAGAACAAGAAUGGGAGAUUGUUGAGGUUUGGGGACUGAGUAUAUGGCUAGAAAUCUCAGAAUGAGCCCAGAGUUAGAGAAUUUGGGUAUCCUAUGUGGAUACUUAUUGUGGUGAGUUGAACUGUGUCCCUCUCCCAAACGAUAGGUCUAAGUCUUAACCUCUGGUAUUUGUAAAUGUGGUCUUGUUUGAAUGUAGGGUCUUUGAGACAUAAUUAAGGAUUUCAAGAUGAGAUCAUCUGGAUUUGGGACAGACCCUAAAUCUGAUGAUUUGUGUCCUUGUAAGAGACAAGAGAAGGAGUUUUGAGACACAGAGACACCCAGGGAAAAGGCUAUGUGAAGACAGAGGCAGAGACUGGGGCUAUGCUGCCAUAAGCCAAGCAUCACCUGGGACCCCUGGAAGCUGAAAGAGUCAAGGAAGGAUAUUCCCCUAGAACUUCUGAAGAGAGCAUGGCCUUGCCAACACCUUGAUUUCAGACUUCCCCUCCAGAGAAGUCCUCCACAGUCUCUAAAACUGCAAGAGAAGGCAUUUCUAUUGUUUUAAGCUAUCACAUUUGUGGUAAUUUCCUACAGCAGCCACGGAAAACCAAUAUUCUCAUGAAAACAGCUCCACUCUGGAUAUUCCAAUUACCACUUCAUGCCACUGAGUGAAAAGGCCAACAUGGGGCUAUGGUGCUGCAGGGUUGGCUGGUCCAACUCUGAAAGAGAACUAGAAUCCCUGUUGCACGGUGAGAGGGAGGAGGAUGGAUGCCCAGUGGCAGAAGUUGAAGGAAGACUCAAUUAUCCUACAUAGACUCCUUUCGGAUGUGGCAGUUUCUCAGGCUUUGCUUGUUCUUGAUGACCUCUGCAGUUUUGAGGAGUCCUGGUCGGGUGUUUUGUACAAUGUUCCCUACUGGAAUUUGCCUGAUGUGUUUCUUAAGACUAAAGUGAGGUUAUAGGUCUCGGGGAAUGAGACCGCAGAGCUCUGUGCAACAACUGGACCUGAGAGACCACAGAAUUUAUUCUGGUUACAAUGAACAUAGAAGAAAUACCUGCUCAUUUAAAAAGCUUUCAAAGAACUCCAGGAAGUGGCUGCAGAGCAAAGUAGGAGGCUGAUACUAUAAGGAGUUUCUCCUGCAGUAAUGGUCUGGGGCGAACGACACAGUGUCAGUUACAAGCAAACCCUGAAAUGGGCUCAACCUGCAGCUCCGCUCUUUCCAGUUACUUGAUGGGAGAUUUGUUCUCCCAUGUGAAGAGAGGUACUAAGAUCUUGGACAACCUCCACAGUAAAACCCAAUCAGACAAACAAACAGACAAACAAACACCUGGUUUCCAGUGGCAUCAAUGAAAGGGAAAUAUUUGGUUUCGAACUCCUGACCUUGAGCAAUCCGCCCGCCUCGGCCUCCCAGAGUGCUAGGAUUACAGGCCUGAGUCACCACGCCUGGCCAAAAGGGAAAUAUUUGGGACAAACCCUCUCCUCCUCCCACUUUGUCAAAGCCACAGCGGAGACCUUGGGACAUUCAUGUGGAACAGACACUGCUCAGGUCUGAGCAGUGCUGAUCUCUUCGGAGGGUCCUUCCUGGCCUCCCUUACCCAAAUGUUCUUAUAUUUGAUUUAAAGUCUCCUUCAGUUUAAAUCAACUUGACCCAGGCAGGGAAAAAAUGUUUCAGGUCACACUUUUGCCAAGAAGCUGAAAAACAAAGUUAAUUGGAACAUUAUUCCUGGAAAUACAGGGGAACAGGACAUUAGCAAAAUUAUUUCAUCGAAUCACAUGUUGAAGUCACAUAAGAUCAAUGACAUAAAAAAUGGAAGAGAAAUUACAAUCACAUGUGUGAAGACUAGCAGGUAGAGUUUCUCCAUAUAAGAUGUCCUAUGUGGUUUAGUGGAUGCUCCUGCCAAGUGACCGGUUGUGUCCCUUUGUGGCUUCACAAGAAGCAGUGAUCAACAUGAAUUCAGCAUUGAUAACUGGAGGAGCACCGCAGUAUAUGCUGAGAACUGUUGGUAUUAAUUAUUAUCCAUGGUGUUGCUGUGCAUCUGGAAUCCAGGAGUGGAUUAAUCGAUUAAAGACCUUUCAUAAGGUUGCAGUGUCAAGAUCUUAGCUCGAGUUACAGUCAUCUGAAGGCGUACCUGGGGUUGGAGGAGCCACUUGCAGGAGCGCCUUUUGUAUGCUGAAAGGAAUGGCCAAGCGGGGAGGAAUGGAUAAUGCACAUGGUAAAGGACAACUCCAGGGCUGAGUCUUGACAAGAGAGCUCUUUCCAGCUCACCAGGCUGCAGUGCUGGUACUUGGACGUUUUUCACCCAUCACGUGUUUCUCCCCAUUGAGAUAAACUUCUUCCAGAAGAAGCUGCCCAUCUUGACAAGUCUGUUUCCAGUCUGUGCUCCACUGCACAGCCAGACCUGAAAGUGACGGGAACUGACAAACUCUCUGAACUUGUCCCAUUGGAUUUGUCUAAUGGGCCUUUCCCUGACAUAGAUGAAAAAGUCAUUGACAGAAACAGACCAUUUACCGUGAACCUGAGCAGAGGUAUAAGCAGCGACAGAUAAAAUAGGGCUCGAAAUAAAAAGCUGGGAAACUCAGGCCACAUACGAUGGACCCAGGGAGAUCUCUGCUUUGAAACGCGAAGACGAAAUGGAUGGCAUUGGGUUCUGCAGCCCCAAGUCACCACCCAGCUGGUGCCGAGAAAGCCAAGCUCCCGCGCCCGUCUCUCUCCCUGCGCCACUCCAUGCAGAAGCUGCUAAGUGUGACCUGGGGUCAGGGGUGGCUUUCAGCAAUCCACUCCAGGCCUGAGGACUGAGUUCUCUUUCCAAAGAAAAGCAAAAAUGUGGUAUUAAAAAUUUUGCAGCCAUUUAGAAAUUCUAGUCUGCUGGCAGAAUUCAUGUUGAAGAAAGCUUUCCAAACAGAAGAGUCACAUCUUAGGAGCGAUAUUUUUAGGUUCUAUAAUCAACACCUAACGUGAACAUCAUAUAAACUCAGAAUUACCCUUGAAAAGCCCUUACAUCACCCAUACAACAUGCAACCCUCUAUUCUAAUUUAUAUUCACACUGAAAUUUGAAAAUCGUUGCACUAGAUUAAAUGAAAAAAAACAGGAAGGGAAUCUGUGUGCAGAUGUCUGGCCUCAGACCAUUCUGCCCUUAAGGCAGACAUCAAAUACCAGGCUUUGAGUGAGCUCAGGACAAUUCCAAGCAUCUGUGUUGGACCACAGGUUUUACUUUAUUCUUUUUUAAUAUUGAGGCUCGACAGCCACUAUAGAUGGUAAAGGAUAUGUUUGUCAUUGUGAUGAUUAAAUGAAAUAGUGGCAAUGCAUCAAACUCAGGUUAGGACUAAAGCUUGUGUGUUGAUUAAUGCUGAAAUAAUACCACCCCACUCUGUUUUUCUAUAAGAAAAAUCUUUAGAUAAUUCCAUGGCUACAUAAAGGUAAGGUCUAGGUCUCCUCUAAAAGGAGUUGGUUGGCUGAAUGAAGAGUCAAAAUUGCUUUAUAGUAGUAUUAAAGCAAUUAGUUUAUUAAACACUUAAGGAAAAUUAAAAAUGCAGCCAGAAUAGGAGAGUCCUAUGCCAAAAGAUGGCUAACAGUUUUCAAAAGGGAAGAAUAAGAUAUCUCCGGUAUCCGCCCAUAUUGGAGUGUGGAAACUAGAACUUUGGGGAGAGGAGAUGGAAGAUCAGAAAAGGCUUUGAGGAAGAAUAGAGCCAACUGCUGGGCCAUAAACAGGGAGAGAGGACCAGUUAUGGGAGCCCCAUGAUUAGACAAUGCUGAAUACCCAGGGGAGCAGAGAUAUCAGGCCUCGACUUUUGUUUUCCUUUUCUAGCUUUGGAAAUUCCUUUUGAUCUUCUCAAGACUUUGGUAGAGUCAGUUACCUGCCUCAGCCGUGUGUCGUAGGGAACUGUGAAAUGUCUCAGAGCUCAAGAGGAGGAAUGUGGUUUACCCUUCCUAGGACCACCCUUUCCUCACAAGCUGGAAACUGCAUAUUAAAGGCAAAUGGUCAAUGCACAUCCAAGGAGCCGAUCAACAGCAAAACCAUCAGAGAAGUCCAAGGUGGAGCAGAGACAGGAAAUUAAGAGUUAGGCAAAGUGGAGGAAACAGCUACAGGACCCGGUGGAAGAGAAGACUGAACCGGAAGUCCUCUCUCCCAAAUAUACUGGAUCUGGAGUCGCUGACUUCAGGAGCCAACCAGCAGCGUUAAUGAUCGAACCGGCUUUGAUCAUUUUAGUGCAUUUAGUUUAGUGCAAACUUACUGCUAGGCUCUCUCUGCUGCGAUUGUAAACUUCACAUCUGCUAAGUUACCUUAGCUUUUAGAACCUUGUGGGGAUGAGUCAAACAGGGAAAGAAAACACCUUUUUGGGCUUCCUACUCCCACAGGCUCCCAGGCUGCAGCCCCAGAGCGAGGGAAGGUAACCCCCUAAAGCAGAAGUGCCACUCUGCUGUGAUGUGGAUUGGGCUUCUGCCUGUUGUUCUUGUUUUCAAGCCAAGUCCCGAGAACUAGCACUGCAUGUUCACCCUGCCAAGGGGGAUUUACAGCCGAGGGCCCUUGGAGACUCUCCAGAGCAGCAUCUCUGUCUGCCCCGCCGGACACAGCUCAGUCUCUGGUCACUGCAGAAAAGACCAGAGAUCCGCUCUGUUCAUUUAGUGUCUGGUGGCUUUAAAGGAGAUGUGCACUCGUGCUUCUGCCAGCGUUUCUUGGUUUGCCACCACUGCGGCUGGCUCAUCUCUGUCUUGGUCUGGGCUUUCCUGAAAGCAGAGUGUCAGUCAAGGAUUGACUACAGGUGGUUUAUUUGGGAGGUGAUGCCAGGAAGCAGGAGUGAGGCGUGGGGAGAGUGAGGCCGGGGAGGAGGUAGAGCUAACACCCAGGUGAGCUGAGAUGUCUGCUGUGGGCACCAGAAAGGGGCCCAGCAUUAAUCUAUUGGCUUGCCGUGGUUGGAGGUUGGGGGAGGGGACAUUAACUUCUGUGUGAAUCUCCUAGAUACUCAGAGAAGCCCUGAGGCAGAAAACCUGAGAGAGCCUUAGAGCAAGCUUGGGUAGGCGUGUCCAUGUGAGUCUGAAUUCAGGUAAGGGGCUUGAUGCAGGGCAUUGAAAGCUUCCGCUACAGUCUCUGGUGAGAGACAGGACCCACCCUGGGUGUGCCGGUAUCGGGGUGCUGCUGACUUGGCCUGAGUAUGGCUCCCUGACCCCUCUUUUGCCUAUUCCUUGGACAAUGGGAGAAUUGCUUCACCACUUAUGCCCAAGGAUGCCUGUUCUACACCGUUCUCCUCCUCAGUUUCCUAACUCACACCUCAGUCUCCCACGUAAGAGCAGCAACACAGCGAAACUUAGUUCCCUCCUCCCUCCCCCUUUACCUUCUGUGGGCCUCUCCUUUUCCUCUUUCUUCUCUUCCUCACUAGACAUGAUCAUCUUAAGUGCAAGUCCUUAAGGCUUUUAUCUUCUUCUGCCCCACGUCCCCAGGUGUAUCAUUGGGUCCCCACUCCCAGCUGUCACCUCUGUGUCGCUGCCACCAUCGGGAUAUCUCCAGGUGGGGUUCUCUCUCCAGCUCUGGGCCUGUGUUGACAGUCACCCACCUCAGAAUUUCCUGGCAAUUUCUAUGCUAAUGCAAGCUUGAGAACCUCCCCUCUAGUGUGAAAUGCCCCACGAUGAGUUGGACAUUUCUUUUUUGGCCAUGUUCCAUCCACCCCUACUCACCAUGUCAAAAAGUGGCCCUGCCUUCUACUCCCAGUGCACAACUUUCUCGUUCUUCCCAGUGUCCCCCUACCCCUUCCAAAAGAAAGUGCUCUGACUCCAUCUCUGUUUGCGCUACUAUCCACUUAUGUCUGCUUGUAUUCAGAAGCCUGGCGCCACACUGAAUUCCUCAGUCUCCUUGGAAGUGGGUGUUCACAGGCCACAGUGGGGGUCCGGCAGAAGCAGAUUGCAAGGUGCACAGUCACGCGCGCUAGGGCUGCAGCCACACAGUGGGGCUGUGAGUCAUGAUGCCAAGCUGGAAGGAUCAAACCACUCCCCACCUGACCAUGAAGGAACUGAAGCCCGGAGAGAUGCAGAGCUUUGACGAAAGUCACACGGCCGGUUCAUACCAGAGCCCAGCCUAGUGAUCAUGCUCUGCUUUCCUUCCCAGAGCCCUUUCUACAAAAGCGUCAUUGAACAAGCAGCCUUUAAGGGCAAGCAGCAGAGUACAGAGUUCAAACCGGCUCAGACAAUAAUGGGAAGUUAUUUCAUAUAAAUGAAAAGCUUAGAGGUACCUGACUUCAGGCAACAUUUGAACCAGGAACUUAACCUUUGAACCAUUUGAACCAGGAACUUAAAUACGUCAACAAGUACAGAUGUCUGAAGUAGCCUUGGAAUUGGUCCUCAUGACUCCAAUCUUAUCUGCUAAGCAAUUCUCCCCACUGCCGCUGAAAGUCCAUCCAGAAAGCAGGCUUUGCUAUGUCGGUGCCACCACUGUCCAGAAAAUACAGUCCCAGCUCUCAAGAUGAAGGGACCUGCAUGUCCUGUUGACACCUUGGCUACCCGUGUCUCUAGCUUCAGCUCCCGCCAUUCCCUGCCUUAUGGGUUCUUGUUCAACACCAGCAAACCACACACUCUUUCCCUACAUGGACUGGGCUACUUUUUACCUUUGGGUCUUGGCUCAUGCUGUCUUCUCUGCCAGGACAAUCUCAAAGCAAGCAGACAAAGACAAACAAAGGAGCUCCGGUAGCUCCUUGCUCAUCCUUCGGGACUCAAGUUGUGUGACACAUGCCUGUCCCCUUUCUCCCCGCCUGUGUAUUUCUCUAGGGUUGUAUGAUCAUCUCUGAAUUGUCACCCAUGUGCUACCCUGGGUACGGCUGUAACUAAACUGACAUGUAAGGUUUUAUGGAUCUUUA